rnacentral:rRNA from 1 species
UACAGAGGGUGCAAACGUUGUUCGGAAUUACUGGGCGUAAAGCGCGUGUAGGCGGCUCUGCAAGUCGGGUGUGAAAUCCCAUGGCUCAACUAUGGAAGUGCACUCGAAACUGCAGGGCUAGAGUCCUGGAGAGGAAGGUGGAAUGCUUGGUGUAGAGGUGAAAUUCGUAGAUAUCAAGCGGAACACCGGUGGCGAAGGCGGCCUUCUGGACAGUGACUGACGCUGAGACGCGAAAGCGUGGGGAGCAAACAGG